rnacentral:lncRNA from 1 species
UGAGAAGAAGAUGUCAUGAGAUAGAAAUGUUUUAAAAAGAGAAUUGUCUUAGAGAAACUAUGAAGCGAAUGGAAAAAGAGGAGAAAUUACAAAGUAGAAUUAUUUUAGAGAAACUACGAAGAGCAUGGAAAUAAUGGAGAGAAAGUGAGAUUGUGAGUGUUGAACAUGCGAUUGAAAGAGCUAGUGUUUAUACUCGUCUUAUUUCGUCUUAUUUGGAGACACCAACACUCUCAUGACAAUACACUCUCCUGACAAUUCACGUGAUUCACCAACUCAUGACAGUACAUUUUAUUUCAUUCAACUAGAAGACAAGUAAAAAGACACCCACUCAUGACAAUACAUUUUAUUUCAUUCAACUAGAAGACAAAGUGAAAAGACACCACCAAGUCUCGUGUGACAACAACAUGCCAAGAAACAAGAGACAGACCUCUACACUGUCUUCAAACAAGAAACAAGACACCACCAAGAAACAACACUCUCGUGACAAGAAACAGAAAUCUCGUGACAAGAGACCACCACUCCACUCUGCACAGCAACAUCUUUGAUCCGUGAGUGUACACUGCAGUUAGAAGAAAAAAAAACAAGACACAAGUUAGCAUUACAAAGAAGAAGAAACUUAACUUGAGCAUUACAUUAACAACAAGAACCGCGAGUUUAACAACAAGACACAUUAACAUUAAUCACUUCAGAAACAGAACAACAAAAAACAUAACAUUGCAACAUAACAUUAACUUGAUCAGGCGAGUUUAACAACUAGAAACAGAACAAAUAGAAAUUUAACAAGAAACAGAACAAGUUAGAGAACAUUUUUCCGAUUAACUAAGUAGACAUCAACUCCUUGAUGAGCUUCUUCCUGAGAGCCUCUUCAUCCUCACCUAGACCCUCCUCUCGAUUUCUAAUAAGUGAGUCAAGCAGAGUCAUCUUAGUCAACCGUUCUUUGAUUGUGAACAUAUUCUCAAACUUAGACAACCGUUCGUUCACAGCAUUCUCGUCUACCACCUUCUUCUUACCACUCGCCUUUGCACUCUUAACACCUGGGGGACGCUUGUUUGCAGUUGCUUGAGAGGUUGAUGAAUCUGCACCGUCGUCACACUUCCUCUUCUUCGAUGUCCCUUCGCUUUUAGCAGUGGUAAGAUCGCACCACUUCUGAUCAUUCCGCAGCUCCCUCCAUGCGUGUUCUAGAUUGAAUUUCUUCUUCUGAUUGUUGUAGAAAAUUUGAUGUGCUAGCUUCAGAACAUCAUUUUCAUUUUGUCCACUGCUUUUCUCCCUAGUAGCAGCAUCAUACGCUCCACAGAACUUGGACACAAUGUCAUUUAUCCUGUGCCAACGGUGCUUCAACUGGUUUGCCUCCAUAUGUGCGCAGUCAGCUUCUUUUGCACUUGCCUGAAAAUAGGCAGUAAUUCUUGACCAAAAGGCGACUGAUUUUUGCUCGUUCCCAAUUAGAGGGUCUUUGCUCGUGUUUAGCCACGAGCUGAUGAGCAAAACAUCAUCCUUUGGUGUCCACUUAUGUCGCUCUCUUCGCUCUGGACCAGUGUCUCCAUCGAAGUUUGAGGCUUCAGAAACUUCAUAGUUUCCAAAAGAAACAGUUUGUUGACUAGUUAGUAAGUCAACAAACUUUGAUGGAUACGAAUCCAUGAGAAAUAAGACAGAAAGAAAAAAAUAAAGAAGACAGAAAGAAAAGACCAAAGCUGAGAAAUUAGAAAAAUGGAGAGAACGUGAGAUGAAUUCAAGAUAGAAGCAAAGGAAGGAGUUUUAUAGAACGAAGAAAAGAAGAAAAGAAGAAAAGAAGAACACGGUUUGCAUUCAUCACAACCAAACCGACAUGACAUCUAUCUAACAACUUCCUCCCACAACAACAUUCAAUACUAUCUGACCAUAAUCAAUUUAAGACAACCACUAUCUCAGACAAAUAUUUAUUACCUAACCUAACACAUAAUUACAUUUCAAUUCAUUUCAAACAAGAUAUUGCAGUCAACAACAAUCGCAACAUGUUUGCAAUGCUUUUUCCAAUUAAAACAAGAGCAAAUAGCUACAAUAAUACUGAAUUCAACAGACCAAAGACCAUGGUUUAAUCCAAUUCUAAAUUCAGUUCAAGCAAAAAUAAAAUUGAUUGGUUAUGAUUUAUCCAAUUUAAGCUAGACUAAUGACAAUGAUUUUAUCCAAUUCUCAAUCCAAUUCAAGCAAUAAAAUUCAAUAAUAAGCGCAACAUAACUCACAAAACAACAACAAAUAUAAGCUAUGGUUUAUCCAAUUUAACAGAACAAACAGAUUGAGUUUAUUCAGUUCAAAAGAUCAAAGACAAAGCUUUUACCUUUGACAAACAAUCGUUGGGGUUUUGUCUGACAGAGAGAAAGGUUUAGCCUUGAUCAUGCCUCUUGAUCAAACCCUCGGAAGACACAUAGAUAGAAAAAAUAAAAACAAAUCAGUGGAUUGAAUUUCUCUUGAUUCACGAUGAAAUAGAAGAAUCUAAGACAUGCAUCAAUGAAAUAUUCAAACAUGUAAACAUAUUGACUCAUCUUUACCUUCUGAUUCGCCAUCGAGAGACACGCCGAUCAUUGUGUAGAGCCACCAAAAAGAAUAGAAAUCGCCUUUCUUGUGGCUGGAAGAGGAGAGAAGGAAAAAAGAAAGAAGAGAAAGAAGAAACGGGAAAAAACACGCACACCUCUCCUCUCUCCAAUGAAUUCCUGCCGCGUGGCCAAUAAGCGUCGUGCCUUUGUUCCCUUAAUUAAGGGACGCGCUUUGGUUUAAUUGGGGGUUU